GCGUGCAGCAGUUCUAUGGUAUACUUGCUUUUAGUAAAUCUCCAAAAACAGCGCCAUCUAUCGGUAGUUUCAAGCGUUUUAGGCGAGUCAAAUAACUGUUUAUACCCGUACUGUGCCGCGUGUGGUAUAUAAAUAAGCUGACUUAAGUUGCUAUGUCCGAGUCCGAAUAUCUUGAUAGUUAAAGGGAACGAAAUGGAUGGGUGUAUGUUUAUACUUACAUGUUUAUAUAUAAUGAAUAUCGUAGGUUAAUUUUGUGCUGUAUCCGCGUGGUGAAGCCGAUUUCAACUUAGGUCAAAUUUGUAUGUGAGGGCUCGUUUUGUAUGUUCUAAUGUUAGUGUUAGAUCCGGGGGGGGGGGGGUAAAUAGUGGUUUUUACAGAGUGAUGCUCAGAAUUGCAUAGCUAUAGUAGGUAUUUAAAUAAAAGUAAACAAACGAUUUGUACAUUUUCGGGUAGUGAUAACAUUUAUUGGUUAACCAACCAAAUACAAAACCGCCUGGAUAAGUCACUGAACGAUCUGACUUUAACCAACAUUAAUUGAUCAUCUACCUUCAACUGGCUUAAUGAGCCGUUUGAGGGUAGAUUUUGUUUACUUUACCUUAAAUGGCAUAACAAGCCCGUGUGGUGACUGUACAAAUGGUUCAUAAUUGCCUCCAACUUCAUUCUUUUAAGAGAACACAGAGUAUCACUGAUGUAAAAAGCGUUACUUACCUUCAGGUUCGAAUGCACACGAAGCUACAACUAACAGAAUGGAUCAAUAUUUGAAUUUGUGAUUACAUAUAAUGACGUACAGAUAGUGCAUAAUCGUUUUUCAUCGUAUUUUCUCGGAAGCGUUUAUUUGUCAUGCUAUUUCAGUCAACGUCAGUACUUUUUGUACCGAUAAUGACUGAAAUAGCAAGACACGUUCGUACGUUUCCGUGAAAAUACGAUGGAAAAUAAUUAUGAACUACAUCUGUAUCGAAAAUAUAGUUUGUCAAAGGACUGUCUUAUUUCAAACAUAGACAAAGAGAAUCAUACUAUCUUUGUCUUACACUAGUACUAGCACCUAAAAGAAAAGGAUGAGUAUAGUUUUUUUGUUCUUAUUUACCUACUGACAAAUUGGUUUGACCAACUAUAUUUAUAUCUUAUGUGUUGACUCAUACUGACAGUGAGAGAGCGCGACCAUAUACGUCAUGUAAUAUGAUGUUUAUAGUGGCACUACUAUACUUUGUCGAUGCCGCAGCAGUCAGAGUUAUCUGAACGGAGUCUUUAUGUCGAUACAUUUUGGUAAAGUAAGAACGCUAAGCACGAUGAUGCCGGCAGUUAAUGCCAUUGUGCGAGCAGGACUCAAUAUAAUUAAGCGCGUGCAAUAGAGAUAGGAACAGGCGAGUCAAUGUACGAUAUUCUUCGUGGUUACCGUACUUACUUUAACUUGUAGGUUUGUGUGCCUUCGAACAAUCAUUCGAACGAGCUAGCAGCGAUCUAGUUAUAAGCCUAUACUUACCUGGCCCGUCCGAUGGGCCGUUUCAUUUAUACCCGCUGAUUUCACUGAGGUACUAAUUUUAUAUACGCACUGAGUGUUUAAUACAAUACCGAGCUGUGUUGAAUUUUGUGUUCAAAUAUGUUGUUUAACACAAAAUUGUAGAUAUAGCAUUAUGGCCUUAGAAACGAGAUAUUAGCAUCCGUAGGCAGAGGGGAUAUAGUAUUAAAAUACAUUACAUAUAUCAUACGGCAGUGUGAUAAUUUUAAAAUUUAAACGGUCUUUUAUUCUAAACACCAGUAUAAAUUAUGAUUUCGUCCUUUAUUUAAAGUAUUAUAUUCUCACUGGUGUUUAAAAUGUUGGGCCGGUAAUUUAUUUUUUAAAUCUAUAGCUGACUCACUUAUUUAUGUGGUUAUUUUUCUACAUCAGUUAGUUAACCAAAUCAAGCGCUGACCCACUGUAAUUCUGUAUGAGGGUUCUUAGAAAUUAAAACAGUAUGCUAUUAUAAA